GAUAUAGUUCCAGCAGGAGCCUGGAGAGAGUAAAGAAAGAGAACAAAGGAGGGAGAUGUUUGGAGUUCAGCAAAAGCACAUGACUCCAAGCUGGUGUUCUGACAUUAUCCAGGUGGCUCACUAAUUUACUAGUCAACGUGACUGAACGGAGUCAGCCUUGAACGAGAGAAUGGGGAUGUGUGACUCUCCUGGAAGCCUGGAGAGGGGAUUUGCCUCACAGAAGCCAGAAGAGCCUACUGCUUAACUCCCUGCUCUAACUCAGAGUCCAGGAGUUACUAAAACUUCUCUAUCUGAAGAGGUGGGGAAAGCUGGGUCAAGAGCUCCUUGAGUUAUCUCAGUGACUGCUGCCAUCAAGAGGAAGUACAAAAAAGGUGGAAGCAGAAAUUCAAAUGUUGAAACAGCUAUCCAAUAGAAAUAUAAGGUGGAUCUAUCUUAUAAAGAGCCAUCUUGUCCACUCUGGUUAGCUGGAUAACGUCCCUCAAAGAUAUCCAGGCCCUAAUCCUUGUAAUCAGUGAAUGCUACCUUAUACAGAAAAAGGGUCUUUGCAGUUAUAAUUAAAUCAAGGGCCUGGAGAAGGGUCCUUCUGGAUUAUCUAGGCAAGCUCUAGAGGUCGUCGCAAGAGCUUAACAGGGAGGCAGAGGGAGAUUUGACUAUAGAGAAGAAAGCCAUGUGAUGCUGGAGCAGAGAAAAAUUUGAAGAUUUAUGCUCCUGGCUUUGAAGAUAAAGCAAGGGGCCAUGAGCCACGGAACACAGCUCUGGAAGCUGGAAACAGCAACUCUUCCCUAGAUCCUCUCAAGGGACAAGGUCUUGCCAACACCUUGAGUUCAGCCCAGUGAAACAGAUUUUGGACUUCUACCUCUCCAACUGUGUAAGAAUCAAUAUAUGUUCUUUUAAACCAACAA